rnacentral:lncRNA from 1 species
GAGCAGGAGCAGGAGGGGAAGCUUGAGCGGGAGCUGGAGGGGAAGGUUGUGUCUGGCUGUUAGGUACAGCCGAGCUCUCAGCCAUCUGAGAAUUAGAAGAACUUCCCGGAUUGCUACGACGGGAUGAACUCUUCUUACUGCCAUAACUCUUCCUACUACCAGCAGACAGAUAUCGGGUAUAAUCAUUUCCUGACAUCUGCAAAGAAAUAAAUAUAAAGAUUAAUACAAUAAUUUAAAAUUUUUAGAAACAGAGAGGGGGUUUGUUGUCGUCGUUUUGUUCACUUGAAGUUCAUGAAGACCCUCUAAAGCAGUCAGAGGGAUAUGCGCACAGCCAGAAUGAAGACCCUCUAUACCAGCGAGAGGCAUAUGUUUGAGUUUCGAAGACCCAAAAAAUCUUAACUGAAUACACAUGCCUGGUCGAUUAGGAGAAUGCAAGAAAUUUAGAAAAUGUAAUUUAGUUGGGAAGAAUUAGAAGAUUAACAUGUAAAUAAUUAUUAAACACAAAACCUGAUUAUUAUUCUUAAUAAUAGGUUAAUAGACAACUUCAGGAGUUUUGUUUUGUUUUAUUAUAUAACAAGAACAAGGAGACUGAAAAUGGAGUCAGUCGAUCAACUCUAAGAAUACAAUACAUACAAUCAGCAUUGCUUUAUUUUCGAAUUGAAAACCCUAACCACAGAAUCAUAACCUAAAAAAUUGAAAACCCUAACCACAGAAUCAUCAUCACAAAUCCAUAACCUAAACUAUAAUUAAAACCUAAAAAAAUAAUAAUGAAGUCAGAUAGAGCAACCUUGAGGAGAGAGAUCCGGCAAGGCUGAGGCGAAGAUCCGGCGAGGCAGCGGCGAGAAGGAGAGGCGGAGAGAGAGAAUACACGGCGAGGGAGAGGCGGAGGAGAGAGGGCACGGCAAGGGAGAGGCA